rnacentral:tRNA from 1 species
GUCUGGGUGGCUCAGUUGGUUAAGCAUCUGACUUUGGCUCAGGUCAUGAGCUCCCGGUUCGUGGGUUUGAGCCCCGCAUCAGGCU